GCCAGUAACACAGUGGGCUAGUGCAUCAGCCUAUUAACCAAAAGGUUGGUGGUUCGAGCCCACCCAGGGAUA